rnacentral:misc_RNA from 1 species
GUGAACGGUGGAGCAACACCGCGUGUUCCCCGCAUACGCGGGG